GACGAACGCUGGCGGCGUGCCUAAUACAUGCAAGUCGAACGCAGUGGGGACGGGUGAGUAACACGUGGGUAACCUCCCAUCAGAGGGGAUAACACUUGGAAACAGGUGCUAAACCGAUACUGAUGGAUGGACCCGCGGUGCAUUAGCUAGUUGGUGAGGUAACGGCUCACCAAGGCCACGAUGCAUAGCCGACCUGAGAGGGUGAUCGGCCACACUGGGACUGAGACACGGCCCAGACUCCUACGGGAGGCAGCAGUAGGGAAUCUUCGGCAAUGGACGAAAGUCUGACCGAGCAACGCCGCGUGAGUGAAGAAGGUUUUCGGAUCGUAAACUUCUUUAGACAGGGACGCGGUACCUGUAGAAUAAGCCACGGCUAACUACGUGCCAGCAGCCGCGGUAAUUC
rnacentral:rRNA from 1 species